CCUACGGGCGGCUGCAGUGGGGAAUAUUGCACAAUGGGCGCAAGCCUGAUGCAGCCAUGCCGCGUGUGUGAAGAAGGCCUUCGGGUUGUAAAGCACUUUCAGCGGGGAGGAAGGCGGUGAGGUUAAUAACCUCAUCGAUCGACGUUACCCGCAGAAGAAGCACCGGCUAACUCCGUGACAGCAGCCGCGGUAAUACGGAGGGUGCAAGCGUUAAUCGGAAUUACUGGGCGUAAAGCGCACGCAGGCGGUCUGUCAAGUCGGAUGUGAAAUCCCCGGGCUCAACCUGGGAACUGCAUUCGAAACUGGCAGGCUAGAGUCUUGUAGAGGGGGGUAGAAUUCCAGGUGUAGCGGUGAAAUGCGUAGAGAUCUGGAGGAAUACCGGUGGCGAAGGCGGCCCCCUGGACAAAGACUGACGCUCAGGUGCGAAAGCGUGGGGAGCAAACAGGAUUAGAUACCCUAGUAGUC
rnacentral:rRNA from 1 species